rnacentral:misc_RNA from 1 species
GUGUUCGCUGCCCUCACGGGUAGCAAACCUCACCCUUGUGUAUUAUAUCUUUGUUGCUUUGGCACGCCGCCUUCGGGUACCGGCUUCGGCUGGCUCGCGCGUGUCAGAGAACCUAAAACUCUGAAUGUUAGUGUCGUCUGAGUACUAUCUAAUAGUUAAAACUUUCAACAACGGAUCUCUUGGUUCU